rnacentral:rRNA from 1 species
GAUGAACGCUGGCGGCGUGCCUAAUACAUGCAAGUCGAGCGAACGGACGAGAAUCUUGCUUCUCUGAUGUUAGCGGCGGACGGGUGAGUAACACGUGGAUAACCUACCUAUAAGACUGGGAUAACUUCGGGAAACCGUAGCUAAUACCGGAUAAUAUUUUGAACCGCAUGGUUCAAAAGUGAAAGACGGUCUUGCUGUCACUUAUAGAUGGAUCCGCGCUGCAUUAGCUAGUUGGUAAGGUAACGGCUUACCAAGGCAACGAUGCAUAGCCGACCUGAGAGGGGGAUAGGACACACUGGAACUGAGACACGGACCAGACUCCUACGGGAGGCAGCAGUAGGGAAUCUUACGCAAUGGGCGAAAGCAUGACGGAGCAACGCCGAGUGAGUGAUGAAGGUCUUCGGAUCGUAAAACUCUGUUAUUAGGGAAGAAAAUAUGUGUAAGUAACUGUGCACAUCGUGACGGUAACUAAUCAGAAAGCCACGGCUAACUACGUG